ensembl:lncRNA
CAACUAUGAAGUAGGUAUUAAUCUCUCUCAACAACUAUGAAUGAGGAGUCAAACUAACCAGCCAAACUCUCCAGUUACAGAAUGGAAGAAACUCAGAUUAGGUUGGAAAAACAAAUGUGGAUAUACCACAAGUAACUUUGCCCAAUUAUUGAAGAAGCAAAGUUUCAGUGUUCAUGUUUUUUCAGUUCUGUCCUUGACGCAGAAAUGAGUAUCCAAGAUCUAACACAGCUUCAUGGGUUUCUUUCCAUCUCAAAUUUACAACACAAAUUAUUCCAGCUCUAAAAUUUCUAUGAUUUACAGCAAAUCUAGUCAAUGGCUAAAAAGAGGCACAAUUGAAACCUCUCACAUACUAAAAUCUUAAGAGAUGGAGGAUAAUUUAAUGGGGAAAAUGUAAGGAUACUGAAAUCAGGGGAAGGAAGAAGUCUGAGUGGAUACCUAAGGAAACAGAAUGUCUUACAUUUGAAAUUUCACAAAAAUCUAAGAUUACAACUGUCUUCGCACCUUCAGGCCUGAGCUUUUCUGUCUUGCCACAUUUAUUCUCAUAUCUAUGUAUAAUAUAGCUGAGGAGAACUCAAAAGAAAUAACCCCAGAAAUAGCAAAAUUGCUUCCUAUUAUAAGUCAGAGAUAACAAAAAAACAGUAAUAGAAAAAUCAGCUUUUGUUACUUUUAAAGGCCUAAGGAC